ensembl:rRNA 5S_rRNA 5S ribosomal RNA
ACUCACAGCCAUGUCACCCUGCAGCCCAAUACUGGUUACUCACUGAAGCUAAGCAGUGCUGAGCCUGGCCAGUAUCUGGAUGGGAGACCACAUUGGAAAACUAGGUUGUUGUUGGAA